rnacentral:rRNA from 1 species
GAAGGUAAGCCGCAGAGAAUAGGCCCAAGCGACUGUUUAGCAAAAACACAGCUCUAUGCUAAAUCGAAAGAUGACGUAUAUGGGGUGACACCUGCCCGGUGCUGGAAGGUUAAGAGGAGAUGUGAGAGCAUUGAAUUGAAGCCCCAGUAAACGGCGGCCGUAACUAUAACGGUCCUAAGGUAGCGAAAUUCCUUGUCAGGUAAGUUCUGACCCGCACGAAUGGUGUAACGAUUUGGGCACUGUCUCAACAACCUACCCGGCGAAAUUGUAGUACCGGUGAAGAUGCCGGUUACCCGCGACUAGACGGAAAGACCCCAUGGAGCUUCACUGUAGCUUAAUAUUGAAUUUUGGUAUUUCAUGUACAGGAUAGGUGGGAGACUGGGAAAUACAGGCGUCAGCUUGUAUGGAGUCACUGUUGGGAUACCACUCUUGAGGUGCUGAAAUUCUAACCUGCGUCUUUGAAUCAAGACGGGGGACAUUGUUAGGUGGGCAGUUUGACUGGGGCGGUCGCCUCCAAAAGAGUAACGGAGGCGCUCAAAGGUUCGCUCAGCAUGGACGGAAACCAUGCCAAAGAGUGCAAACGCAAAAGCGAGCCUAACUGCGAGACUGACGGGUCGAGCAGUAACGAAAGUUGGAGUUAGUGAUCCGGCGGUAUGUGAGUGGAAAUGCCGUCGCUCAACGGAUAAAAGCUACCCUGGGGAUAACAGGCUGAUCUCCCCCAAGAGUCCACAUCGACGGGGAGGUUUGGCACCUCGAUGUCGGCUCAUCGCAUCCUGGGGCUGAAUUCGGUCCCAAGGGUUUGGCUGUUCGCCAAUUAAAGCGGUACGCGAGCUGGGUUCAGAACGUCGUGAGACAGUUCGGUCCCUAUCUGUCGUGGGCGUAGGAUAUUUGAAAGGAGCUGUCCCUAGUACGAGAGGACCGGGAUGGACGCACCUCUGGUGAACCAGUUGUCACGCCAGUGGCACGGCUGGGCAGCUAAGUGCGGAACGGAUAAACGCUGAAAGCAUCUAAGCGUGAAGCCGACCUUAAGAUAAG